rnacentral:rRNA from 1 species
GCAACGAUGAAGAACGCAGCGAAAUGCGAUACGUAGUGUGAAUUGCAGAAUUCCGCGAAUCAUCGAGUCUUUGAACGCAAGUUGCGCCCGAGGCUCGUCCGAGGGCAUUUCCGCUAGAGCGUCAC